AUACUCUUUUGCAUGGGCAGGUGAAAGAGCUUUUCACCAACUGUGACCAGUGCACCAUUAGUGAGCAAAGUAUGGCAAGUUAAGGCUAUAGGUAUAGAAAAUGAUUCAUUUGCUCACAUAGUGGUUCAUAGAUAAUGCUAUUGUAAUAUAGUAUGAGUGGUAAAUGCCACACAUACACUAAAAACAGGACAAGUUAAAACAAGUAUGCUGAGGUUGUAUGAGGCGAGCAUUGCAAAGAAGAUUUG